AUAAACUCCACACUGUCCACAAUCUCUGGCGCGUGCUGGUCAGACUGGAAGGAGGCAGACGGAAGUUCAGCUGAGUCUGUAGCUGACGCUGUGAUCGUUUGCGCCGUUGAAGCAGAGGAGUGAAAUAUCUGCUGGACGCUCGUCUUUAAAAUGGAUGUCAAACGGAUAUUUCGACACGAGCUCUUUUUAACGUUUGUCCUCUGCUGUGUUAAUGGACAAACAUCAGAGCCGUUUUUUCUGGUGACAUUUCCUG